UACGAAGGGGGCUAGCGUUGCUCGGAAUCACUGGGCGUAAAGGGUGCGUAGGCGGGUCUUUAAGUCAGGGGUGAAAUCCUGGAGCUCAACUCCAGAACUGCCUUUGAUACUGAAGAUCUUGAGUUCGGGAGAGGUGAGUGGAACUGCGAGUGUAGAGGUGAAAUUCGUAGAUAUUCGCAAGAACACCAGUGGCGAAGGCGGCUCACUGGCCCGAUACUGACGCUGAGGCACGAAAGCUAGGGGAGCAAACGGGAGUU
rnacentral:rRNA from 1 species